AUGAAAAAAACAUCAGCUUUCAACAGACUGGGUCCAGUUAGGAAAACAGACGGCCCAGGCAAGGAAGAAUACCUUCAGGAGUCUAUGCAGAGACCACAGACAGGAAAUGUUCCUGACAAUCUCUCGUUAUGUGACGCCUUGUCACCUGCUUCACCUCCCCCAACCUGUAUAACUGUUGCAGUUCCAUUCCCUGCAGAAGGAAACAAGAAGGAAGCUACUCCUGGAUUCCUCCUGAUAACUGAUAAGGACUACAGGCAAAACUGCAGCUGGACUAGCAGAGCUAUUUUCCGGAGGCCAGCAAUUGUGUGAUGGUCUGACAGGGGAGGAAAAAAAUGUAACAUUUUGAACUUUCUGCCUUUGUACAAAACCUUUCUCCUCCACUCUCUCUGCUUCCAUCAUCAUAUAGUUCUUUGGCCAAGAUCCUGGUGCCCAGAACAUGAAGCUCCACCUUCCAUCAUUAGUCUCUGGUAGGCUUUUAUUUUAAGCCUUAGCCUUACUGGCUUCUUUUUUCUCAAGGCAUUGUGGCUGUAUGAUUUAGUGGAUGUCAGAGGACAAACAUAUCUGGAAGAGGCCACAGUAUGUAAAUGAUAGCAAAAGUGCUAGCAAAGAGCAUUAAAGCAAUUACCUUGGCAAUGAAAUUACAAGUGUUAAGGCACUUUGAGGUCAGUGGAAAUCUCCAUCAUAUUUCAAAGGCUUUGGGGCUUACGAUUGCUCUCUGGGAGUAUGGUGAUAAUAAAAGCAAAAUAUAUGCCUAAGGACCUUUAAAG
rnacentral:lncRNA from 1 species